CGGGCCUUUACAGGUCUGGCAAUUGGAAUGAGAACAAUUUAAAUCCCUUAUCGAGUAUCAAUUGGAGGGCAAGUCUGGUGCCAGCAGCCGCGGUAAUUCCAGCUCCAAUAGCGUAUAUUAAAGUUGUUGCAGUUAAAAAGCUCGUAGUUGGAUUUCUGGCAGGGGCGAGCGGCCACACACUAUGUGUGUGAGCUUGCUUACUCCGCCGUCCUUGAGGAGAUCCUAUUUGGCAUUAAGUUGUCGGGUAGGGGAUACUCAUCGUUUACUGUGAAAAAAUUAGAGUGUUCAAAGCAGGCUUAUGCCGUUGAAUAUAUUAGCAUGGAAUAAUAAUAUAGGACCUUGGUACUAUUUUGUUGGUUUGCGCACUAAGGUAAUGAUUAAGAGGGACAGUUGGGGGUAUUUGUAUUCCAUAGUCAGAGGUGAAAUUCUUGGAUUUAUGGAAGACAAACUAAUGCGAAAGCAUCUACCAAGGAUGUUUUC
rnacentral:rRNA from 1 species